AUUUUUUGUCCCGUCUCCAUAUUGAAGGGUAUCCAGGGUAGGGCUAUAAUCAAGUACAUCUCCUCUGAAUUUUCUUACUAAAAGGAGAAUAUUUAAAAGUAACAUGCUCUCACACAAAUCUACCUGGCUGAUCACCAAGCCCUGCUAUAUUAGUAAUAUUUCUAUUUUCUAAUGACUCUUCUUUAUUGUUAGCUGUUGUUCUUCUUUCAUUACUGUCUUGUACCUUCUCUCCUGAUGCUACAUAACCCAGUCCUCCUAUCAAUAUAAUGACAAUAAAGGUCUUCAUGACUUCAGAAUAUCAAUCAGUUAUACAGUGACUAUGCUGCAUGCACUGAUACAACUGCUCACAAGAUCUCCCAGCAGUGUAUGCAUAGGGUCUCUGGGUUUGUUUGUGUUUUAUAUUAAUUUGAUAGUUUAGUGUCCAUGUAUAUACAUCACUGUAUUCUAAUUGAUCAUAACUGUGAUAAUUUUUGAAACUAAAUUAACCACAUGGAUGCAUACACUGAAUUAAAACUUUAAGUAAUCUCCAUAAUUAUAGAUUUGUUUAUAUUCUCAGCUCAUUAUUAAAAUUGCAUAAGUUAUAUUGCAUGAUUUUAACUGAUUUUAAAACCAAA